UUUUUUUUUUUUUUUUCAUUUUUGUCUCUGUCCGUGGCAUGCAGAAGUUUCCAGGGCAGGGGUUGGGCCCAGCUUAGAGCAGUAACCAGAACCACCAAAGUGAAAAUGGUGGAUCCUUAACCCACUGAACCACCAAGGAACUCCUGAGAAAUAUUCUAAUUUUUUUUCUAUCUCUUAUCUUUUUAGGGCUGCACCCAUGUCAUAUGGAGGUUCCCAGACUAGGGGUGAAAUCAGAGCUGUAGUCACUGGCCACAGCCACAGCCACAGCAACGUGAGCUCUGAGCUAUGUCUGCAACCUAAACCACAGCUCAAGGCAACACCAGAUCCUUAAUCCAAUGGUCGAGGCCGGGGAUCAAACUCCUGUUCUCAUGGAUGCUAGUUGGGUUCAUUAACCACUGAGCCACACAGGAACUCCUCAAUUCAUUUCUUAAACAAGUGAUAAAUGUAAAUUUAAAAUUAUAGAGGAAAAAUAGGACAUAUUUCACAUAUCAACUCAAGUGGCUCAGCCUUGAUAAAAAAAGAAAGGAUUGAUUUGUGAUUCGGGUAAUAAGGUUGUCAAUAGGCAACUGUUCCCAACUGCUACAUUCUCAGUAGGGAAAGAAAAAUUACCAUGACAGAAAUGAUAUCUAUUAUAUCCAAACAGCUUCAGUCUUUUGAUGGUGGACAGGUACAUGCAAAUGGGUUUGAAAUAUGUCUUGACUUAAGUAAAUGUGUUAAGAAAAAUAUGUAAACAAAAUAACAAAAUCAGCCAAGCAUAGAAAGAGUUCAUAAAAAGAAAGCUUGAUCUCUUAGGCUAUGCCAGUUCUCUAACUUCCAUCAUGAUUUAUAAAAUAAUUAAAUAGAAAAUGCAGGUGACACAUACAACAGCUUUUUGUUAAGCUAUUUUUUCUUUUCUCUCUUUUUUUUUUAGGGCUGCACCCAUGGCAUAUGGAAGUUCCCAGGCUAGGGGUUGAAUUGGAGCUGUAGCUGCCAGCCUACACCACAGUCAUAGCAACUCGGGAUCUUAGCUGCAUCUGUGACCUACACCACAGCUCACGGCAAUGCCCAAUCCUUAAUUCACUGAGCAGGGCCAGGGAUUGAAACUAAAUCUUCAUGGGUAAUAGUCAGAUUUGUUUCCAAAAUGGGAACGCCCUCUUUUUUUCUUUUAUUAAUGAAGCAAUUUUUUUCCUGUAUUGUUUCCUGAAUGUCUAAACAUACCGCCUUGAGUUUCCUUAGGUAGGUUCUAAAAUUGUGUUGCUACAGUCCAUUCUUAGUCCAAUAAGUGAAGCUCAUUCUUUACCUAGGAGUUAAUAAAUGAUGGUUACUUAUUACCUAAGUAUUUCCUUGGGCUGAGUUUCACAUGAGAUGGAUGUACAUCUACGUAGUAGAAAUAGCAGAGAUACACUCAUGGUUCUGAUAAUUCUCAUAGUGAACUUACACAUUGUCUCAGAAAAUAAUAUUCUAUUAAUAUUAAAUUCAGAUGACAACACAUACUAAAAAUACUAGAAAUUCAAACUUAUCUAAACUGGUAGAAAAUGACAUUUUAUUUCAAAUGUAAAAUGUUUUUCUCUUUCAAUCAAAUGUCUUUUCCUUAAACACAGAAAAUAAUUUAAAAAAAAAACAACAACGUAUAUUUAAAAUUCCACAUGGACAGUUGAUAUACUUCCUUUUAUUAAGUUUCAGCAAAUCAUUAAAAACAUGAUUAGAUACAUAAGAGACAUUACGUUCCUGAAUUACCCCAAUAUUCCAGGUCAGAUGGCCUAAGGUGCUAUACAUCUAUUCUGCAGAUGAUUGAUUUUUCUCAAGAUCUUAUUCAAAGUUAAUGAUGGAGUUAAAAAUAGCAGUUGUUUCCUUUGUUAUUCUGCCUUUCUUCCAUCUUACCCUGGUUCUUGUUUGCAUGAUUUCACAAAAGUGAGGACAAGGUGAAUUUUAAAGAAAUUAGAAAAUGAAGAAAUCUGAGGAAACUGAAUGUUGAUAAUCUCAACAGUUCUUGAAGUCUGCUUAUCUACUACUAAACAGGCAAUUCACUCAGAAGCUGGGGAAAGCUUACAGCUCUCAUCAAAGUCCUCUUUACAAUUACAGAGGUAUUAAAGAAAGUGUCCAAUGUGAGAGGUGAAUCUUAAGUAGUUUAAAGAUUGAAUUUAGAUGAUGAAGAUAAGAACAAAAAUACUUAAUGUUACUGUAGAGCUUUUAUACCUGGGGGCUUAGAGUAUUUAACUAAAGGUCAAAUGAUAUAAACCUCUGAUAGCUGCAAAACUGGCUGAAAAACUUUAUCUAGUCUAAUAUUUUUUUCCCUGCCCUUUUAUGUUCCUACAGUAGGGGGGAAAAAAACCACAAACAAACAAAACCUCAGGGUCUAUCUGUGAGCAUUCUAGCACAUACUCUCUUUAAAAAAUAACGACAGGGCUUUCGACUUGCAGUAAGAAGGAAUAAUUUAGUGCUAAUUUUAAAAUAAUUGUUGAGAAAUAUUAAGCAAAUUUAAUUUACCCCAACCCAAAAUUUAAAAAAAAUUCACUAAUAGAAAUGAAAAAAUAUAACAGCAUAAAAAUAUAACAGCAAACAUUACAGACAUUCUUUAAGAUGAAGAAAUAUCAAAAAUAGAUCCUGAUAAUCUAAAACAGAAAAGAAUAAAUAACACAAAUUUCUAAGUACUCCCUGCCUUCCAAAUAUAGCCAAUUAGAGAUAUUCCUGAUUUACCAUGUAGUUAUGCAGCAAUGUUCCAUAAAAUGAAUGUCAAUCAAAGUUUAAAGACGUAAUGUAGGAGUUCCCAUCAUGGCUCAGCAGAAACAAAUUUGACUAGCAUCCAUGAAGAUGCAGGUUCGAUCCCACUCCGUGUGUUAAGGAUCUGGUGUUGCCAUGAACUAUGGUGUAGGUCACAGACAUGGCUUGGAUCUGGCCUUGCUGUGGUGGUGGCUUAUGCUGGCAGCUAGAGUUCUGCUUUGACCCCUAGUCUGGAAACCUCCCUAUGUCAUGGGUGUGCCCACCCCCAAAAAAAGAAGGAAUGUAAAAGUCUAUACUAACAGACAAAAUGAUACAACAAAGUACUUUUCUUAAAAAUAAAUAACUCUUUUCUUAUAUGUAAUUAUAGAUGUCUCACUUUGUAUUUCCUGGUGUGUUAAACUGCACUGGAUAUGGCUGACGGAAACAUUAUGUGAAAUGUGAAAUAAAAAUGGAGUCGCCAUUGUCACAGGUUUCAGCAUGAAGCUGGGAGGCCAUUAAGGAGUGGCCCUUACAUAUAUCUUCACCAGGUGGAACCAUAAACUUUCAAACUGGGUCAAACCACAAACACUCCAAGGACUCUGCAAGUACAGCAGCAACAUGUUACAGCAAGGAAUUUUUUUCCUCCUUCUAGUGAUAGUUUUAGCACGCAAACUUAUUUAGCCAAGACUUGCUUCUGUCUCCAACUCCAAUUAAGAAUCUCUGUAGUGCAAAACUCCUUUUUUUGCCUUUAAAAUCCCCUGACUUUUACUCCCUAGCAGGACAGUGUUUGGGGUUGUACUGGAAUCUGUGCCAGGGCUUUCAAUUCUUUGAUCCCAAAUAAAUGCUUUAGGCUUGAUUAUUGCCUCCUAGGUUUAUUUAGAUUGACAGUUAUAAUCUAAUAAACACUGGGAAGAGUAUAAUCAUAUAUACAUGUGGGUGGUGAACUUGUGUGUUUCUUGCUUUUUACAGAGCUGAAAGAAUGCUGUAGAUGGCAUUCAAAAUUCUUCAAUUUUGAAGAGCUUCUUCAGUCUUGUAAAUUCAGCUUGGGUAUGGAGAUUGAAAUCUAGACUUUUGAAAAGGUUAAGACUAUUCUUUAUACUUAUCUUAGUGACCAAUUCAGUAAAGUGAUAGUGUACUUUUAAAUAUAUAAAAUACAAGGUAGUGAAAGUUUGCAUUAAGUCAUUCUAGGUCUUUUAAAUGAUAGUAAUUAUGGAAAUAGAAAUAUAAAUUAUUAAUCAUAAUACAUUGUAUGUAAUUCCAAAAAUUAUUUAAAAUCACACAUUGUAUAUAAUUCCAAAAUUUAUUUAAAAUCAUAGUAAUAUCAUAAAACUAACUUAAUUGAUUAAAAUAUACUAAAUGUUAACUAACAUUUUGGUCUUUAAGCAUCUGCUAUUUUAACAUUAUAAAAUGCAAAUGAUUUUUUCUCUCAAUUGGCAGUUUUCCUUCACUAUAAAUCACAACCAAAAAAACUAUACAUAUAUAGGAAAAAAAACCUCUAGCAAAAAAGAAUGUCACGUUGUAGAAACCACACAGUGAUAUUUAAGACAAACAGAAGAAGCUAAGAAGAGGGCUUCUAUUUUAAAUUGGUAUCUCAAUAGGAGUCCCUAGUUUAGCCUAGACCAGCAUUUAUAAAAAUACUCCUUAAAAUGAUGGGAAAAAUUAUAACCAAAGAAAUAACUUUGAUUUGUCAUUUUUAGAGGGAAAAAAUGACACUAAUUGAAGCUUGUUAGCUACCUCAAAGGAAAAUCUAUUCAAAAUUAAUCUUAUUAAUUUUUCCUGCCCAAUCUUUUUGUUUGUUUUAUUUUUUUUUUUUUUUAGCGUGGCACCUGCAGCAUAUGGAAGUUCCCAGGCUAGGGAUCAAAUCAGGGCUACAGCUGUCAACCUAGGCCACAACCACAGCAAUGAGGGAUACGAGGUGCAUCUGCAACCUACACCACAGCUCACGGCAAUGCCAGAUCCCCAACCCACUGAGAGAGGCCAGAGAUUGAACCCACAUCCUCAUGGACACUAGGUGAAUUCAUUUCUACUGCACCACAACGGGCACUCCUUUCCUACCCAAUCUUAUCUCAGCCUCUCCAUCAUUGAACACAUGGGAAAACUGGAUGGGGAAAAUCAGGCAUAGUGUUGUGUUCAUGGCUGCAAUCCCCAAAAAGUGUUCCUCUGAACCCCUGGAUGACUUGAUGCUGGUUGUGUAAUGCAGCAUCCCUGCAUAGGUUAGUUAAGCUGUGUAGGUUAUCCAGGAGACAAGAAGAAAGGGGAAGGUAUACAAAUUUAGGAAGGAAAGUGCAGUUUGUUUUUUGACUUUGUUUCAGACCCUGUGUUACAGAACAUAGAGAAUCAAGCAGUACAUGGGGGAAAUGAGAUCUCCCAGAGUAACGGAGGAAUUAUAGUUAAUCUGUAGUACAAACAGGGAACUCUUCACAUCUACUCAUCCUUUACUUUAAAAUUAAUAUGUAUUCUUCCUGUUCAUAUUAAAGCAUUGGACAUAUCUGUUUUCUGGACAUUAUUUAAGGAUAAGUAAAAACAAACAGAAGACAGAAAGCUACAACAACAUUGGUACUAUGAUUACAAAAAAGAAGAAAAUAAAAACGUCUCCAUGAUUUGGGAGGUGACCUCACCUUUCAUUCUGAAUGUGACCCAAUAGAAACUUCAGAAGGAAAACACAGAAAAGUGAUAUAUCAAAUAGAUGAUAAUAGAACAUGGUCCCUGUGAAUCAGAAGCAGAGCAUAAACUGGAGAAAAUAGACUAAUUAAGAUAAUUAGAUUAAGUAAUACAUUUAAAGGCAAAACAAAAAAGGAGGAAUAGUUAGAAAGCAAAAAACAACACAAAUGGAAUUACAAUACAAUUUGGAGACAAAUAACAAACACAAUGUUGCAGAAAAAUAAUAUAAAAAACUGAACUUUUUAUUUCGGCUGUACCCAUGUCAUAUAGAAGUUCCCAGGCCAGAGAUCAAAUCCAAGCCACAGCUACAAUCUACAUCACAGCUACAGUAAUGCCAGAUAUUUAAUCCAUUACUUCUGGUCAGGGGUCGAAUUCACACCUCCACAGAGACCACAGCCCUGCAAUAGGCUCCUUAACCCACUGCACCACAGUAGGAGCUCUCCAAACUUGUUUUUAAAAAAUGUAAAAAUAAAUUAGCUUAAUGAGAUGGAGUAGGCUACGCAUGUUAAAGAGAAGGGUAUACCAAAAACUAGUUUCCAAAGGAAAAGAUGAAAAAUAAAAGAAACAGAAGUGAAAAAGCAUUGCCAUAUUGUAACCCAGCAGGGCCCUGUGGGGCUCCUGGGCACAAAAGCCUUUCUGUGUCCCCCAUUUGUUGUUUUUAGGAAAGGGGCAUCAUUCAGCCUCCAUGGCCUUCCCUGAGUUCCAAGGGGUGGGUUCAGGAAGUUGCUGAUUAGAGAAGUGAAGGGAUGCAAAGACAGGAAGAAACAAUCAAGCAACAAUAGUACAAAUUUGGGGCAGAGUCCUGGUCCCCCAUCAAGGAUUAUACAUAAAAAUAUAGGCAUUUUGUAUACCUAAGAGCAAAGUUAUAUUCCUUAUGUUUCUUUUAGAAAUAAAUGUUUUGGGAGUUCCUGUGGUGGUGCAGCGGAAAUGAAUCCAACUAGUAUCUAUGAGGACAAAGGUUCCAUCCCUGGCCUCUCUCUGUGGGUUAAGGAUCCAGCAUUGCCUGUGAGCUGUUGCGCAGAUCACAGAUGUGGGUAGGAUCCCACAUUGCUGUGGCUCUGGUGUAGGCCAGCAGCAACAGCUCUGAUUUGAUUCCUAGCCUGGGAAUUUCCAUAUGCUGCAGGUGCGGCCAUAAAAAGAAAAAAAAGGAAAAAAAAAUGAGCAGCUUGGAGCUUUUCUUUGUGCCUCUCUCCUGUUUGAUUGC
rnacentral:lncRNA from 1 species